GCUCUGGGGAGCUGAGCCCCCGGGUGCUGUCUGGGCGCGGGGAGGGACCAGGGAGGACGCAGGGGAAGGAGCCUGGUCCUCGGACUCCAGAGUUGGAGCUGAAGGUCAAACGGUGGUGGGAAUAGACGGGACAGGUCAGUCCAGGGACUUUCUAGGGACUCUGGUCCAUGGGUCUGUGCGGGAGGUAAUAGGGGAAAGAGUUACACUGCGUUGGAGAUUGUCUGUUCUUCUCAGGCGGCUAUGACUGUUCUCAGGCGGUGAAAUCGUCAUUCCUUUGUCUACCACCCUUUUCUCACUUGUAGAGGAGUUUUUUUGGAAAAACUGGCCACUCCAGGGUUUUUUUGUGCAAUAAGAUGUGUGCCUACUGGAAUCUAUUGAGAACAAUCAACAGUGAAUUCAGACUAGAGUUCUUAGUUUUAAAUGAACUAUAUUUAAGAGAGCCUGAAGUUCCUGCUUACCAUGUAAUUUCAGAAGGAAUUCUAAUACUCUGGAUAAUCAGAUAUUUCUCGAAAACUUCCAAGUUACAGGAGGGAUCUGCUCUUACAGUCAAGGUUUUUUUUAUUUAUACAAGAACCAGGGUACAGGCCAGAUGCACAGGAGGGUGAGAGGAUUCACCAGAGAAA